CAAGUAGCAUGAUCCUACUUUUUUGGCACAUGAAUGUUUUAAGGAGGACAUAAUAUGAAGAAAAUAUUUUCCGUAGCAAUAUGAGAUGGGAUGGGUCUCAUAUAUAAAUAUUUUAGUUAUCUAAAUGUAAUAUUUUAAUGUGUUCUGUA